GAACUACUUCCUUCGUCCCAAAUUACUUGUUAUAGAUAUGGAUGUAUCUAGAUAUAUUUUAGUUCUAGAUACAUCAAUUUAUACGACGAGUAAUUUGAAACCGAGGAAGUAGCUG
rnacentral:pre_miRNA from 1 species